rnacentral:rRNA from 1 species
AUUGAACGCUGGCGGCAUGCUUUACACAUGCAAGUCGAACGGUAACAGGGAGCUUGCUCCGCUGACGAGUGGCGAACGGGUGAGUAAUGCGUCGGAACGUGCCGAGUAGUGGGGGAUAACGCAUCGAAAGGUGUGCUAAUACCGCAUACGUACUGAGGUAGAAAGUGGGGGACCUUCGGGCCUCACGCUAUUCGAGCGGCCGACUUCUGAUUAGCUAGUUGGUGAGGUAAAGGCUCACCAAGGCGACGAUCAUUCGCGGGUCUGAGAGGUUGAUCCGCAACACUGGGACUGAGACACGGCCCAGACUCCUACGGGAGGCAGCAGUGGGGAAUUUUGGACAAUGGGCGCAAGCCUGAUCCAGCCAUGCCGCGUGUCUGAAGAAGGCCUUCGGGUUGUAAAGGACUUUUGUCCGGGAGCAAAUGCUGGUGGCUAGCAUCCACCGGAGCUGAGAGUACCGGAAGAAUAAGCACCGGCUAACUACGUGCCAGCCGCCGCCGUAAUAC